GUCUUCGGAUGCUGACGAGUGGCGAACGGGUGAGUAAUACAUCGGAACGUGCCUAGUAGUGGGGGAUAACUACUCGAAAGAGUAGCUAAUACCGCAUGAGAUCUAAGGAUGAAAGCAGGGGAUCGCAAGACCUUGUGCUACUAGAGCGGCUGAUGGCAGAUUAGGUAGUUGGUGGGAUAAAAGCUUACCAAGCCGACGAUCUGUAGCUGGUCUGAGAGGACGACCAGCCACACUGGAACUGAGACACGGUCCAGACUCCUACGGGAGGCAGCAGUGGGGAAUUUUGGACAAUGGGCGAAAGCCUGAUCCAGCAAUGCCGCGUGUAGGAUGAAGGCCCUCGGGUUGUAAACUACUUUUGUACGGAACGAAAAGACUCUUUCUAAUAAAGAGAGUCCAUGACGGUACCGUAAGAAUAAGCACCGGCUAACUACGUGCCAGCAGCCGCGGUAAUACGUAGGGUGCAAGCGUUAAUCGGAAUUACUGGGCGUAAAGCGUGCGCAGGCGGUUAUGUAAGACAGAGGUGAAAUCCCCGGGCUCAACCUGGGAACUGCCUUUGUGACUGCAUAGCUAGAGUACGGUAGA
rnacentral:rRNA from 1 species